CAGUCGCCACGGUAAUACAGAGGGUGCGAGCGUUAAUCGGAUUUACUGGGCGUAAAGCGUGCGUAGGCGGCUUUUUAAGUCGGAUGUGAAAUCCCUGAGCUUAACUUAGGAAUUGCAUUCGAUACUGGGAAGCUAGAGUAUGGGAGAGGAUGGUAGAAUUCCAGGUGUAGCGGUGAAAUGCGUAGAGAUCUGGAGGAAUACCGAUGGCGAAGGCAGCCAUCUGGCCUAAUACUGACGCUGAGGUACGAAAGCAUGGGGAGCAAACAGGAUUAGAGACCCCCGUAGUCCCUGUCUCUUAUAC
rnacentral:rRNA from 1 species